rnacentral:rRNA from 1 species
GAAAUUCGACUUCAUGAAGCUGGAAUUGCUAGUAAUGGCAGGUCAGCAUACUGCCGUGAAUACGUUCCCGGGCCCUUGUACACACCGCCCGUCACACCAUGAGAGUUGGGAAUACCCGAAGCCUGUGAGCUAACUUUUAGAGGCAGCAGUCGAAGGUAGAAUCAAUGAUUGGGGUGAAGUCGUAACAAGGUAGC